UACGUAGGAGGCAAGCGUUGUCCGGAGUUACUGGGCGUAAAGCGCACGCAGGCGGUCCUAUUAGUCUGGGGUGACAGUUCCCGGCUUAACCGGAAAAGGACUCUGGAAACUGUAGGACUUGAGGGCUUCAGAGGGAUGUGGAAUUCCAGGUGGAGUGGUGAAAUUCGUAGAUAUCGAGAAGAACACCGGUGGCGAAGGCGGCCAUCUGGACGGUGACUGACGCUGAGACGCGAAAGCGUGGGGAGCAAACAGG
rnacentral:rRNA from 1 species